AGACGAACGUACUCUCUAGGACGAAUCAUUAUAGCGAGUCACACAGUCGAAUAGCGAGCGUAGAGUUGAGCAGUAACAUUGAGCGAGCGACGAUUACGACCGACAUACGCUACCUCUGUACUCGUAUUUAACGUGAUUUUAAUAUACACUGAUUAUUACAAUUUUAUCAUUCGUCUCUUUAAUAAACCAACGCGUAUAAUAAUCGUUGAGAUUAUUCGAUGUGUAAACAGAGGAACUGGUGGAUAAAUUGUAAGGUAGAAAAUAUAUUUAAAUAGAAGUGUAAUUAUAAGUAAGAAUACAAUUUGAGCUGGUCCAGAUCCGCACGCUAGCUGUGUUACCCAAUAACUGAAAAACACUGAAGCCAACGUCGCCUGUCUACCGUUUAUGGUCUGUCUUCGUCGCAGUCUUUUGUCUACGCGCUGUCGAUGGCUUCGGUGCUCGAGAAAACUAAAAAAAGACCAGAUGUAGAGUUUUCUUAGAAGUGGUGACCACUUCAACGAUAAUCCAUCUCAAAAAGCCCAUUUGUACCUCGAGCAAGUUCCAAAACCCAUAAACUUUUCGGCUCUGCGAAAGAAGCGUAAUUUUGACGCGGAAAAGAAAACAGAAGAUACGAAGACGAGUCACGAGAGAAAUAAGAUUCGUUAGCUUAAUCAGUGGAGAGUAUGAAAAGCUUAAGACGGCGAUGCACGACCUAUCAACCGGACGAAACACGCCAUUGCCUUUAUCGUCGACGCACCGCGUGCCUCAAGAUUAAUGCUGCUUUGCUGUUUAGAUCGUAAGCGCAAGGUGAAACUACGCACAGUACAAAGUCGCUUCUUAGCGGAGGGGACGACAAUUCCGUGGAAGGCCAUUUAUGGGAUUGUCCAUUACUGGUAGCAGGUGACUGCCAUGCUGCUACCUCAAUGACUAUCCAUCAAGCGUUUGGAAAUAUGUGGGUCAGCCGUGAAGUUAAUCCUCGAUGAUCGGGAAGAGUGAUAAAUUAAGCGCAAAGUUAUGGCGCCCACCUUUGACACCACGCACCAUUUAUUGUUCCAUUAACGUAACUAUGGCCGUGUCGCGAAUAGAAAGCGCUUUGAAUAACUCGGUUCAAAUGUCCCAUAUUAAAUUAGUUUCCUUUGUAACGUCCGUUGCACAAUUCAUUGGCAGCUUAUGGAAUUCUAACAGGACCUAUCCACAGGAUUAUUAUUCACGCGUAUGAUUUAUCGAUACGUCUUUGGUUCGAUGUUGGUAAUUGAACCGUGGCGAUAAAUAUCGGCCACGUUUUUAUGGUGGUCCUACCAUUUAUUCUCAAUUAAUACAGAUGAGCCGUAUUAAUUAUUUAGCGCAAGGUAAUAAUUUAAUUAUGGAAAGAUCGCUUUUUUUUUUAUUACUCCGUCGGAAUAACUUUCUUCGUCAUUUUUGCAAGAUUGUUUAAUCGCGUUUUUCGAUAUCGAGAUUAUUACGAGACGCGCAAUUUAAGCGUUCCGAUUAAUUUUUUCAACAAAUUUUUUUUUAACAAUUCUUCUUUUUUCCGGUUACUGCUGUAAGUCCUUGGUAACGGUCUCCCUUCCUUUUUGACGAUGACUCGACUACAAUAUCUUCCGUGUAAUGUUUACUGAAUUUUUUAUUUCCCUAUUAUAUUACGAUGACUGUUACAAAUUCUAUAAAAAAUCGUCGAAGAAGAAGCCGAAAGUGGAGGGUCUUUCGAAGUGUAUUUCAUGAUUUUCUAAAAGUGGCUAAAUAUGAAAAUUGAAGGCAAGGUGUUACUGAUAGGUGAUGGAUAAGUCAAAGGAGAAAACGUGGCAAUUUUAUUAAUGAAAAUACGCAACGAAUAAUACAGGUAUUCGUAAUGGACAGGAAGAUUGCUGUAACGCAUACUUAUAAAUAACCAACUUCCACCGGUAGAUAAUUAUGUACGUUUUUAUAAGUCGCGUCGUACAUUGCGAGCGAACACUGGUAUGAAAAAUCGAUGCAGUCGUACCCUUUGCGGUUAAUUUCAUUUCUCAACUCUGGGGGCAAUUUGCAUGGUGCGGCAAUAUUUUAUAAAUUUUCAUAAGUCUCGCGUUUCAUUAACCCUACGGCCUGGAUUUAAAUGACUCUUAAACGAUGCAACGUACAAACACUCAUAAAUCACGUUCUGUGUUUCCAGUUGGUCGAAAAAAAUUCACAUCGUGGCCACUUUCACGAAGUUUCAGAUAUUCGUGUUUCUUUAAACGAUACAACAAUUUCAGUGCCAAAAAUUCACGAUUUAACGGAAUAGCUUGGGAUAAAUCAACGUUCUACGUUGUAGUCUAAUUCGGUAAGUUUUUAUCUACGAAACUGUUAUUCCGUUAAAUUCUCCUUUUCCUAAGUUUUCUUCUGGUACUCUCAUUUUUCGAUCCUAAAACGUGUUUCAUUUUCUCUGUUUUUCCUCUUGGAAUAACCGAAACACGUCGCGAAAUAAACAAAAAUUACUAAAAUAUUCUAACACUGACCAAGAAUCCACCGACUUUGUCCUAACUUUUCUAAUCCCUUUUUUUUGCAUUUGGAUGGAUUUUUAUCUAUUUAUGAAAAUUCGAAGGAUGUGAAAACGCGUAAAAUAUCGAAGGCGGUGGCGUACCCGUUCUGAUACUUAAUAAGCGAAACAAAUUCCUGUUUAGAUUCCGUUUCUUCGGUCAUAUUCGUAAAACACAUUCGCAUAAAUUCACAAGUCCGCGUAUCGCGGAAAAAUUCUCAUUCAAUCACACUCGCUCGAACCUAAAUCAAUUUUCCUCGAUACUUACUUUUCCUAUCAAUAUCGGGUCUCUCAAUAUCGAGCCUUUUCCAUACUCUCUCUCUUCUUACCUUUAUACGCGAUCGUUAUCUUUAUUCGAUCGUUAGAGAUUCUCACGAAACGGACCGCGUUGCAACAUUUCCAUCUCUCCUACGCGCGCGCGUAACUCGAGGGAAGAUCAGCAAACGGGAUAACGCGAGAUCGGUAUCAGAGGCUGCCGCGCAUUCCGCCGGCCUGUUACAAGCAUUGGGACAUCGGAAACACCGCCUUUAACCCGAGUCUGCGCUCGCUGGAAUCCGUCCAGCUAUAGAGACGAGACAACCGGAUCGCGCUACGAAUACGGAAUCCGUUGUUUCCGUAUUAUAUUUCGCCAUUAAAUUGUGAUGGUGUCUGCUCUUUAACAGCGACGUACGCAGGAGAAAAACUUAUUCGUGAACCGAGAUACGAAUAGUCGAAUUAGGAACGGAAAGGUCGGUUAACGAGCGUAAAAAUCAUCGAACUGCUUGAAAACCGCGCGCCCUCGUCUCUUUGUACACAUGCCGGUACUUUCGUUCGUCUAUUUACGUCGCAGUUAUUUAUCUUUACUACUACCUGUCUCCGGAGCGUACAGUGUUACGCGCGUAACUGCACGUAUCAGCGUUGAAUCCCAAUUGCUUCUCCGUUUCAGUUUUUGUCGGAGAAAAUUGUGAGACGUAGUUUGGUGAGAUUGAUUGGUUGCAGGAUAGGAGAUUUCGGUCUUGUUCUUUUAUUUGCGAUGUUUGUUGGAUCUCUGUAGGUGCUGCGUUGAUGUUACUUUGGAUUGUAGGGGCGAAAGAUCGGUGUAAAUUGUUAGUUAUUAAUCGUGUGUUGCGUAUGUUGUCUCAGAAACUUGUUAAUGUCUUGCAGAAUAAAAUAGAAUAAAAUAAUAGAAAUAACUGGUAGGGAAAAAUAGGGUGGAAUUUAAUAUUGAUUUUCCUUUAAGGAAUACAGGAUUUAACUCGGAGUAUAAUUCAAAUUAUCUUAAUACAACGAAUGAUAACAAAUGAUGUUUUAAUACAGAUUGUAAUAAGAAUCAAGUUAUCUGAGAUAGCAGUAAGAAGAGUUUUUUCAUUCUAUUUAAACGAUAUGUGAUUCCGUCCGUGCAAAUAACACAAAUUUGACAAUCCUUCGCUAUUCUUUAAUCUAAAUAUACAAAUUUAAAACAUUCAAUCGAAAUUUACAUAUAUGGGUUUGAAAUAUAAAUUUAAAUUUCCAUAUGCAAAUUAAAGAGUCGCAUUCCAUAUGAAAUUUUCUACGCGAAAUUCAAUCCAAUUUUAAUAUCGUAAAACAUCAGCGCUGCUAAUUUCGCAGUUGGUAUCUGCAGAUUAAUUUUCAGAACACCCUUAUAAAAAGUAUAACGAAUGAGAUAACAGCACAUAGCCAUAUCAUAAAUAUUAAUAAAAAUAUUUGAUAUUUAUAAAAUGUUUAUUUUUUAUAAAAAUUACUCCACAUAGAAGCGGUAUAUAGCAUAUAAAAUAUUACCUGUUCAAAGAAAUACACCGCAUCCUAUGAAAAUGUACAGCAUAGAAGUCGCAAAGCAUUUGUUUCAAAAAUAGCAGUGGAAGAUUAGUAUACACUAUGAAUAGCCAUCUGAAACAUACCAAUAACAAAUGUUAAAAUAUGGCUUGUGUAAAAUAUACUUACAUUAAAUAUACUUAUAUCAAAUGUCAUGUAACUUCUAUAUAUAUGUAUAUUUCCAGAUUUGUUUCAAACAUUACCAAUACAAUCGUGAUAGACGAGUCUCGUAAAAGUGCUAAGAAAAUUUCUAAAUGUCUAAAAUACAGUACACGUAAUAUUCAAAUACUUUCAAGUUGGAAUACUUUCACGCGCCUAUGCUUCGAUAAAUAUGGACGAAAACGUUAGGAACGCGCCAAAUCUCGUAACUCUCCGACAUAUACGUAAGUUUCAUUUGAGAUAGAAGAGAUAUUUUGAAAUAACUCGCAAGGAACAACCGUCGGAUUUCAUUUUCAACGAACUCACGCUGCGACCGGAUUACAGACGCGCAAUAUAAAUAAUAAACUGCGUAAUUGCCGUUAAAUUUUCAAACGGUCUGCCGUACUGUGGAAAAUAAACGUAUUAGACAGCUAGCUGGAAGAUUUAGAAGUCUGGUUCAUCGGUCGAAGAAACGGAGGAACAGUCUUUAUACGGUCGCCCUUAAAUCCGCUAAAUGUCCGACCGUUUCUCGCGCUCUUUCGGUCUCGAAUUUGCGUAUCUUGUACGUCACCGUGAUUUACCGCUCCCUCGGUCCUCCCACUUUCUGAAUUCCCUAGAACUCGCGUAGAGAACGUACCUACUCGGAGAAUGUAACGGUCGAGUAACCAUUCUCGUUGACUUUUUAUCCGUUUUAUGACGUUUUCGACGUUAAUGGAUGGCCUCUUUGAUGGAUUCAUGGAGGAGUAAGUGGAAUAAGAUGAGAGGUUUUACGGACGGAUAUGUGAACGGUCUAUUGUUUUCAAGAUGACGAUUGUGCGUGGUACUUUAUGUGUAGCUAAAGAUUUAUUUAUUUGUCGCAAGAGUAGAUACGUAGCUGAAGGUUUAUUUCACGUAGUUAUUUGGCUGAGAUAUCGAUUGUGAAUCAGAAUCUUGCGACAAGUUUCUAGGAAUGCUAUAUUUAUGACAGUGAAUCUUUUUUUUUCAUAGCUAGGAUGCAUAGGGAAUUGAAUAUAAGCACGUGGAUUGUACAUAAUAAAAGGGAGUGGUUCUUUUGUGCAGCUAAUAACGGACAAAAUAUAUGACAAAUUGUUCAAAUUAAUUGUAAAACAGAUUGAAAUAUACGUAGAAUGAAUCUUCUAUAGAAUACCUAUGAUAUAUAGAACACACGAGAUUUUAUUAUCAGCACUUUAUUUCAUCUGUGCUCUUUCGUAAAUUUUCUAAAAGGAACAGUUGUACAAAACAGAUUCAUUCGAUAUUUUUUCUUAAUCUUCGCGUCAACGAUCUUCCACUUCUUUAAUAUUCAUUUUUUUCCAACGAAUGACCAUUUGCUUGUACAUCUUUUAAAUAUUAAACUAGUUUGCGCAAAGCACUAUUACGGUAUAGAACUAUCAACGACUAAAGUACAAUUUGUAUGAAAUAAAUAAAAAGGAAAGACGUACGAAGAGAUACGUUUUACGGAAUAUCACUCAAAUGCACAAAAUCCAAAUUAUUAGGCUAUAAAAUUUCCAUGGAAAAUCAUUCUGACCUUUUUACAUUAAAAACAUUUUAUUUUCCACACUAACGUCAUCCGAAGGAGAGGAUUAAAUUCUUAUUUGCUCUCUCCAGCUCGCAAAAUUUACCUGAACUUCGAUAUCUCUCGAAUAAGUCAGAACCGCGAAAGGCCAAAUGUCGGAAAGGUGAUAUUCGCGUUUUCGAAACGCGUUCUCGUCUAGUCGGUUAGGAUUUCGUAAAAAUAUUUGACCAUCGCAUGAAAAACGAUCGAACGUAACUCGUACACGUAGUUGUUAGAAAGAAGUUUCAGUCUGAGAUUUGCGAGGAUACGCAAAAAUAGCAAAUCCGUGGAUGGUGUCGAGUAACUUCUCGCUUGGAUAAACUCACUUCCUUCGUAUAAAUUGACUUUCUCGUUAGGAUGGGGAUGUCCGCGGGUCUUCGUAUAUAUUUUCGUCAAUAUAAAUACGCGUAUGGUGCGCGGUAAAUAAUAUCUCUAGCGAGAUGAGAGAUGCUCGUAGCCACGAGCGUCCGAUGAAAGAUAUAGCGUUCGCUUGACUGCGACUGAUAUCGAGGAUUCUCAAUAAUAGCUCAUGGAUUUCGUAUUACGUUGAGUAUGGAAAUACGUGUUAUUUAUGGGAUGAGUUACAGAUUCUAGGAGUUGGCUGGUUUUGCGUUCCGCUAUUUGCUGCUUGGAUUUAUUUAUUUAUCGUGUUUACAGGAUUUUUCGUUAUGUCAUAAACGGUGUCUCUAUAGCUUAUACACACAGAUGACGGUAUAUCAUAGUAGAUGAUUUGUUACGCGUGUUUUCUGCUGGAGCGUCCGUUAGUGACGGAUAUUGAUAUCUUAUUUUAUGAUAGUUGGUCAGCGUUCAUUUAUUUUAUGUCAUAAAUCAUAUUUAAAUAUGACGAUAUUAUUAUUAGUAAGACGCGAGAUCGUGAAUGUAUACUUUCUUGUGGCAGACUUUCAGGUUCUAAAUUAAUUAAUAUUUUAUUAUUUCAUGUUGGAAAUAUUUAGAGUAGAUUUUAUGAUCAUCUUAAAAUAAUUGAAAGAAGAAAGAAGAAAACUUGUCAUAGCACGAUAGUAGAUUCGAUUAUAUGUAAACUAGUGUUUGUUGAAUUGGAAUAUAGAAAAAACGCCUCGUCUUCCUCAUAAUUGCAAUAUGAAUAUAAAAGGAAAUGUGUGGAUUUAAGACUCGGCAGUUUAACUGAACCAUUUAUAACGCAAACGUAACGUGAAUAUAAGAUAUUAAAUCCAUUAAGGUAUCCAACUGUACGAAAUAUAUUGCAACUUCUAAAACAAGUAAUACGAUAUUAAUUGCAUCAAAAACUUAUCAUAAAGAUUCCCAUGGAGACUCACUGAAUAUGCUUUAUUAAUUGCAUCCACGCAUUACGAACUUCCAAAUCGUUUUUCUUUGAAUCGAACGCUUACAAAGCCCCAGAAGAAGAAGAAGAAAUUCCUCGUCUCCAGUUCGUUGUACCAUCCCCGUCCCCGUCUUCGUAAUACCGUCAAUUACGUUAUCUUCUGCACAACCUACUUACACUCUGAUUAAUGGAAAACAACGCCAGAAUCCAGUUAUCCGAGGCUUGUCAUUAAUAAGUAUGUUAAUUUUUACGAUCUCGCAUCCAAUACAAAAUUAACUUCCUUCUCCUCAGCUUUGCCACCACGAAAAUCUUAAUCAUUUCAUUUUAAUUCCCCCUGUGUAACUUACACGUGAAUUUGAUGAUCGAUUCGAGAUUACAUCCGUAAUAAACGGAUAAAUUCCAUAUUGACAGAAUCGCGUGAAACAACCUCGUUAUCCUCGUUUUUCGAUACUCGUACGAUGAAUCGCGAAUGAUCGUUCGUCGAUGUUAUUUUGCUGCACCGAAAAUCGUUUUCACCUGGAUGUGUACUACACGCGGAUCGGUGUCGAACUUGCCAGCGAUUUCACCGUGUCGAUUCGCCUCCUUAAUUAAUUAUGUACGCGUACGUGUUUCGAGAAAUACGGCUGCGAGGUGAGAAUCGAGGGUAAUUGGAGUUCAAGCGAUGUCGCGAUCCCGAUGAAAUUAUUAUAUCGACGGGGAACGGGCCAUCGAGACGCAAUUCGUACACGUCGGUCGAUGAAUUUAUUUUCGUUAUAUCCCGGCAUUUGUAUCGAUCGGGCCAACUUUCACCGUGGGAAACCGCGCUAUCAUGUUCAGCUUUUUUUUUUGUGUACAAAUUGAUAAAUAUAACGUGUAUGAGGAUUCAUUUGGUGGAAUUUAGUGGAAUUCUUGCGCGAAUGACUUCGUAUUUUAUCGAGGAUUUCGAUUAAUUCCUCUGUCAGUUUCUUAUGUGGGACGUUACUUACUUUCUUUUUCGUAGAACGUUCCGAUAGCUGUACAAAUGUUAUUUUUUACCUUUACAUAAUCGUAAAGUCACGGUUACUACUUUCUGUAAUAAAGCUUGUAUAUGAAGAUUUUUUCUUGAGUGCAGGAAGAAAGGAGAAGAAAGAAACAAAAGAGAAAAUGCGGUUCGACUCAUCCUGUCAUUAAUAUGACAAAAUAUUAUUUUUCUAAUUAUUCGGAUUACUGCUAUUUCCCGAAUGAAAUAAAUUUAAUUGUCUCUAGACAGUGGCGAAACGCUGAACGUUAAAGUAUCUUCCCAUCAAUGGAAAAGGAAGGUAACGAGAUUGCGUCGAAGUCAUUGCAAAUACGAAUCUAUUCGUUUAUUUUUCAAAACGAUCAAAAAAUCAAAGAUUCGAUUAAUUGAAAAGUGAAAAAUUGAAAGGUAUACGUACGUAUUACAUACUUAUGCUAUAUCAUUUCGCGCGCCUUGUAAACGAAUAGCUAGAAUGGCUCGUACUCGAAUCUAAUAAUUUAUACUUUGACGUUACACCAGGGAAAAGUUAGCUAAAGAAACGGUAGUGGAUAAAUAUUUUUCCACGGCAGGGAGAAAUAAUUCUCGCGGUAUCUGUUGCGUGUAAUUUCAUCGGAAACGUUACUUCACGUUCGAAGGCAAGAAAGAUCUAGCGGCGGCAUAAAUCUUCAUAUCGAUGUUAUACGUGUAGGCCAUUGUGAGCCAAUAGGCGACAAGUAAUAAGUUAUUUUCACGACCAUGCUUGCAAUUGUAAACGCGGACAGAAAUUUAUGACCGACGAGAGAACAAAAGUUUCCCCGGAUAUUUGAUUGGAAUGUCUUGUCUCCGCUAGUCACACCACGUGGUACACACAUUCGAUCGUAGUUUUAUUAGCAGCGAUAACUUUUACAAUUCUCCGGCGACAUCUAACAAGAAUGCGAGAUUCUUUUGUGAAAUGCGUGUAAAGCAGCAUCCAACGAUGUGUACGCACUUAUAGCUUACAAUCUUUGUUAUAGGAUUGCGAGCCUGCGAUGGAGAAAUUUAUUUAAUUAAUGGAGUAGUCUGUGAGUUUCUUAGAAAUACGUGUCCGUUGUAUCGAUUUCAAUAGCGAAGGAUUGAUCGAGGAUCGACGUUGCGUUACCGCGACGUAUUAUUUGCAAUUCUAUUCCAUCAAUUUAUAUUAUCGUUUCUUCGUAUUUUUAAAAAGGAAUUUUAAGGAUUAGUUCAAUAUUUUUUUCGUUACUAUUUCUUCCGUCUGGAUUCUACGAUUUUAUGAAAUUUACAGAAAUUAAAAUAUUUGUAACGUUAUGACAAAUUAUCGCUUAAAUGGGUUAAGUAGCUAUUAGUACGAUCCUUGCUGCGAAGAAAUUAAAGUUUGUGGCAGUAUUUUGGGAAAAUUUUUGAAUACCAUAUUGGAACGCAGAGAUUGUUUGAAAAAAAAUUGGUGGAUACAGUUGAAUUCUUAGUGUUUUUAAAGUACUAUCCUUAAAUUCACGUUCCAGGAAUUAAAAGGUGUAUCUUGCUUUACUUAAUACUAUAUUACACAUGUGCAAAGUGUUACUCUUAAAUUUCCUAAUUUACGGAGCAGUCUCGGAAGAUAAAGGUACUUUCUGAUUUCCCUAUUAAUUUGACGGAAGCACUGGUUACGUCCCAAAUAAUCAUAGUCUCCAGUGAUCUGCCGUAUGAUCCGAGCAAUAGUUUUUUUAUUGGAAUCAUCUUUCUCGGAGUUGUCAAUACGUUUAAAAUAAACGAUUCGACGCUUAAUGAUACGGAAGAAAUACAAGCCGUGAUUCCUCGUAAAUGCAUAGCGAUGCAACCGAUAUAAGUUGUUCACUGGGAAUAAUGCGUUCGCCAAACCAUAAUCAUCAAAAACACACACAAACUAAAUAACACGAUCCGAAACGAUUGAAAUCUGCAUAUCGACGAAAAAAAAAAUGACACUGCAGCGUCUCAAAAAAUCCACAAAGAUCUGCACGCCAAUUCGAAUCAGCAAUGCAAAUAUCACAAAAAAAAGAAAAAGAAAAAAAAUGUAUUAUUUCUCUGAAACAAAAAAUCUUUAAGCUGUUUAACAUACGCGGGUUCUGUAUCCGAUCCAAAUCGACGCGAUGGGCAGUCCUGGUACUGACAGUGCGCAAGAAAUAUAGUCGUAGCUAUAGGAUUAUGCGAGGCAUAAUGACUACACGUGAAACCAGGUAUCACCGCAGGUAGAAUACGUCGUUCGGCUAAUUGCACGUAAUUAUCGUUGCAAGGAUCGCUAUCAAAGACGAAAAAACAUCGAAAGAUAAAGAAGAAAGAUGAGUCUUAAAAAAAAAAAAAAAAAAAAAGAGAGAA